rnacentral:rRNA from 1 species
UGGGGAAUUUUGGACAAUGGGCGCAAGCCUGAUCCAGCCAUGCCGCGUGCGGGAAGAAGGCCUUCGGGUUGUAAACCGCUUUUGUCAGGGAAGAAAUCUUCUGAGUUAAUACCUCGGGAGGAUGACGGUACCCGAAGAAUAAGCACCGGCUAACUACGUGCCAGCAGCCGCGGUAAUACGUAGGGUGCAAGCGUUAAUCGGAAUUACUGGGCGUAAAGCGUGCGCAGGCGGUUUUGUAAGACAGAGGUGAAAUCCCCGGGCUCAACCUGGGAACUGCCUUUGUGACUGCAAGGCUUGAGUGCGGCAGAGGGGGAUGGAAUUCCGCGUGUAGCAGUGAAAUGCGUAGAUAUGCGGAGGAACACCGAUGGCGAAGGCAAUCCCCUGGGCCUGCACUGACGCUCAUGCACGAAAGCGUGGGGAGCAAACAGGAUUAGAUAGCCCUGGUAGUCCACGCCCUAAACGAUGUCAACUGGUUGUUGGGAAGGUUCCUUCUCAGUAACGUAGCUAACGCGUGAAGUUGACCGCCUGGGGAGUACGGCCGCAAGGUU